UCCAAUCUGUUUCUGGCCGAUGGGCCCAAAUUUACCGACUAUGUAACCUUUUCCGUUGUCCCUCAAAAACACUGCCAAUCCUCCGGUGCAUAUUUACGGCUCGUUUUUCUCUGCUCCAACCCCAAGGUUUGUUUCUGCGGAGGACGAAAAGUAAAAAGGAUCGUCGCCUUCGCGUGGCCGUGAUUCCCCAAUCCCGACUUUAAACUG
rnacentral:misc_RNA from 1 species